rnacentral:tRNA from 1 species
ACUUGGUUAGUUCAGUCGGUAGAGCAUCAGACUUUAAAUCUGAGGGUCAGGCGUUCAAGUCCCUAAUCGGGCU